rnacentral:misc_RNA from 1 species
CGGCAGCUCAAAAUCCAUAUCGGUAAACAACGCAUCACUGUCCAUCCACCAGAUCCACUCCAUCUCCGGAUGCGACAGCAUCAGUUUCCGGAUCAGGGGCAGCUUCGCCCAGUAUCCAGCCAGCUCCCGAUCCAGAUGCGCCAUGUUGUAGACAAUCUCGAUCCCGUGGAGCCGGCAGUAGUCGAUCUUGUUCUUAGUUGAUUUGAGCAGGUAGUGGUCGCCCAUUGGGUUGUCGCAGGGACCGGGAGGGGAUCCGGUGACGAGGAGGAUACGCGGACGGCCGGCGGCCGUCCGCGAGGGGAACCCGGGAUUUUCGGCAAGCCAGCGCCGGCGCUGGGAGUCCCAGUCG